rnacentral:ncRNA from 2 species
AUGAACCUGGCUGGAGAGUUCCGGGACCGAGUCCCGGACGCCGAAGGAGCAAGUACCCACAAACUCUCAGGCACCAGGACAGUCAGGGUCGG